AAGACUAUAGACCUGCGGAGUACCUGCGGAAGGAUCAUUACCGAGUUUACAACUCCCAAACCCCAAUGUGAACAUUACCUUUACUGUUGCUUCGGCGGGAUCGCCCCGGGCGCGGCCGAGAGGCCCAGCCCCGGAUCCAACGUGCGCCCGCCGGAGGACCCCAGACUCCAUGUUUCUUGCAAGGUAUUUCUGAGCUGCUCCUAGCGAGCAAAACAAAAAAUGAAUCAAAACUUUCAACAA
rnacentral:misc_RNA from 1 species